ensembl:lncRNA
GACCCUAAUACUGAUGUGGUAAACAUAAAAGCCUAAACAUUGCAGGGGAGAGCAAAUCAUCUGCAGUCAACUAGAGCACAGCAGCAGCCACUGAUGAAUGAGAGAACAAACUUGCCUUCCUUCUAAGUGUGGGCCUUCCAGUCAUCCACAGGAUUCUAUCCAGGAUUCAACAUUGCAUUUAAUCAUCAUUUGUCCUUCAGCUCCUCUUGUCCGUGACAAUUUUUCCAACUUCCCUUGUUUUUGACCUUGAUGAUUUUGAGGAGUGAUGGUCAGGUGUCUGGGGAUGUGUCUGAUGAUUUUUUCUCAUGAUUAGACUGGGUUUCAAUCCUUGAUUCUUGAUAGGUAUAAUACACUCUUGCAAGAGCCAGAACCAAUGAUAGCAUUCCACACUACUUUUGUUUUUGUUGUUGUUUUACAUAUUUGUUUCCUUUUGGAAGAAGAAAGAGACUCCUGUUUUGUAGUUGUUUGGGGUCAUCUGGUUCCAUUUAAAAAUAAUAAACCCAGACACUCCAGCUGCUAUGAGGCAAAAGGGCCCUUGGUCUGUAUUAGUCUCCAUAUUUCAGGAUUGCAGGUUUCACUUAGCUCUUUCAGCCCUCAAGACUGGCCCUGCUCAUUCAUCCCUGUUGAGACUGGGACACUGGCUCAGAAAAAGGCAAAAGGAACACUGUUGGGGGCUUGGCCCUGUAGGGCUCUGCCCUACCCACUCAUCUGUCAUCUGGUGCUACUCUCUUCCUGAGGCAUCUCCGAGGUUACCCUGGCAUGUGCACAUCUGUAGGACUGCCACCACCCACCUUCCUUAGGGGCUGCCCUGGUAAGUGGACCCAGGCACCCAUCAAACCCACCAUCCCAGGCUGUAGAUCACAACACUGUCAGAUGCCUCCUUAUAGUCCAGACUGGGGACACAUCCAUUUUUUUCUUCUCAAGGAAAACUCAGAUCAUAAAGAUAUUUACAUAUGAGAGAAAUGCUUAGAUAUGGACUUGAGAUUAUAAAAAUACACUCAACCUUUUAAAAUCAUAGCAACACAAGAGACAAGAAGGCUGAAAACUAAAGUGCAUUUAAAAUAUGGCUGCAGGCUACAGGUUUGGAAAUAUAGUUUUUAAGGAAAACAAUUAGAUGGAAUGGAGUCCUGCCUUCAUUCUCACCUGUAUCACCUCCCAGCUCACAGCCUCACCAUGCUCUAAGCCCAAACCCCAAUCCAUGUCUGUUGGCUGCAUGAGUGAAUGAACCUACAGAAGGUAUUUCCCAGCUACCCCCAACAGGUCAUAGCCCAUCUCCUCUCCAACCCUUUUCCUCUUUUCCUUUGCUCAGGUGUCUGAUGAUUUUUUCUCAUGGGCAAAAUGAGAAAGUCAGUCAGAUAAUAGGUUUGUGGAUCAUUUUACCUUCUCUACCCUCCUUGUGUUACUUUCAUUUCUUGGCCUCAGUUCUUCCCCUUUUGCUGCAUCCACACCGUUUGCCAUGGAACUUUGCUGAUCCUUUCACAACUUUGGAAGAACACUUCCCCACCCCUUGACUUUGGGCUUGGCUGAGGGAUAUUAGCAGAUGUGACGCACAGAGGGAUUGAAAUGUGCUUGUAGGACUGUGUGUAUCCUCUCAUGCCUCUGCCAUUGCCAUGAGAAAAGCAUGUCCCAGCUAGCUUGCUGGUCCUGGGAGAAUGAGAGGCAUGUGGAACAGACCUGGACCAAACUGCAACCUGGGGCCCAACCCUAUUGAUUCAAGCCAAGAUCAGCCAAAUACCCACUGGCCUGUGAUGUGUGAGCAGGAAACAAAUGCUCAGAGGUAUGCUACGGAGGUUUUGGGUUGUUGGUACCAGUAAUAGCUAAUAGAGACACCACUCUACCUUCCAGUCUUUCUUGGAAAUCUAGACAGGCAGAGGGUUUCUGGGAAGAAGAGUCUUCAUGUCAAAUCCUGUCCCUGGAGACCAUUCCUUCCUUAUGUGAGCCCAGUGUGACUCACCACUCCCAGAAAGCAUUAGUGUGUUAGUAACAAUUGUAAUUAGCGUUCACCUGGGGUUUUAUUAGCAGAAGGUCACUGUGACAUACAACUGUCUUAGGCGGAAAGGCCAGGAUCACUGCACCCAUUAUGCAAAGAGAAAAUAAAACACUCAGACAAAGUGAGUGAUUCAUCAGGACGGGACAAGGAGGCAGCCGUCUAAAAGGAGAAUGAGAUAAAGGAAGUUCCUUACACCCAGGCGGAAGUCUGUUCGUGUGUGCGUGUUUUCAUUUUAUGACUUUUUCAACAUAAAACGGAGGUACGUCAGUUGUAGAAAAAUAGAAAAAUGUAGAAAGCAUUGAAAGAGUUCCUGCACUAUCUACAGGUGUGUUUAUUUAUUUCUCUUUAUUUUAAUGCACGUAUAUUUGUUAAAUAUUUUUCUUGAAUUAUAUAGUUAUGUUGUAUAUAAAAGCACUUUCCCCACGGCAUUUAAAAUUCUUUAAAGACCUACUUUCUAAUGUGUAGUGUUACAUUCUGUGGACAAAGUUGUGUAAGCAUUCUCUAUUUUUGUAAAUGUAGCUUGUUUACAGUUUUUUUCUAUUAAAAACAAUCCUGUAUGUUGCCUCCGACCUGGAAUCAACCCAAAUGCCCAUUGAUAAUAGACUGGAUUGGAAAAAUGUGGCACAUAUACACCACGGAAUAUUAUGCAGCAAUCAGAAAUGAUGAGUUCGUGUCAUUUGUAGGGACAUGGAUGAAUCUGGAAAACAUCAUCCUCAGCAAACUGACACAAGAACAGAAAAUGAAACACCGCAUAUUCUCACUCAUAGGUGGGUGAUGAAAAAUGAGAACACAUGGACACAGAAAGGGGAGUACUAAACACUGGGGUCUAUUGGGGGGAAAAGGGGAGGGCCAGUGGGAGGGGGAGGUGGGGAGGGAUAGCCUGGGGAGAAAUGCCAAAUGUGGGUGAAGGGGAGAAGAAAAGCAAAGCACACUGCCAUGUGUGUACCUAUGCAACUGUCUUGCAUGCUCUGCUCAUGUACCCCAAAACCUAUAAUCCAAUAAAAAAUUAAAAAAAAAAAUAAUAAUCCUUUUGUGAACGUCUUUGUUGUUAUGAGAGAUAAUGUAUGUGUUAGUGCAUGGCACAUGGCAUUCUCCCUUCAGUAUAAUGAAUGGUAGCUAGUAUAAAUAUUUGCGUAAAUCCCUAAUUAUUUCCUUUAGAGUGAAGUUUGAGAUGAAUUUACCGAGUUAAUGAGUUCUAAUAUUUAAACAGUUUUUGAUACAUGUUGUUGAAUUGCUUUCCAGAAAGGAUGUCCCAUUUAUAUUACUAAUGGUAGUGUGGAAGGAGCCCAUCUCACAGCCUCCUGCCCGGCAUUGAGUAUUCUCUGGAAAACAAAGCACUGCUAAUUUGACAGGUGAAAAAGAGUAGCUCUUUGUUGCAUUGUUGAUUACUAGUAAGGCUAAAAAUUCCUGCGUAAUUAUUAACCAUCAGUAACAGGAUGACUCAUACAUAUAUCUGAGUCAGGCCCUGGCUAAUAAAUAAUUUUGAAUGAAUCAAAGGUGGCCACGCUGCGGGUUUGAGUAGAAUUGCUAAGGCUAGAUGCUAGGGACUGGAGUGGUUAACAUGUUAACUUUAUGGGCAGGGGUUUAUUCCCAGUCUGGACUUGCUCAAUGGAAAGUACUUCCAAGUGGUCAUAAUUCGGAUGUGGAAAGGAGGCAGGACUGAGAAGGGCAUGCUGGG